GGGAGCACAACUGAUCAUACCCAUGCUAUUACUUGUGUAUGCCCUGUCUUGUUCUCUCUCUUCUUCUGUCAACCAAUUUACCAAUAUCUCCAGGUUUAUAUCAAUUUCAUCAAACAAACUAAAUGUCGAGGUAAGAAUUCUUUACUACUUUUUUAAUUUGCUAAAUAAUUCUUUACUACUUAAUUAAACAAAGGAGUUGGUGAGACGUUUUUUGUGUGAUCUUGAUUAAUUAAAUAUGGGUGUGUAUAUAGUAAGAGUAAAGGAACUAGCUAGCUAGCUAGUGUUAUAUAUAGAUACAUAUUUGCAGUUUAUCAAACAAGCAUCAUAUGUAUUUUUUUGACUGUUUCAAUAUUCCUAUUAUUAAUUAAUUCUUCAGGAUCAUAUAUAUAUAUAAUUAAUAGAACUACGUAGUACCUGGUGAAGGACAGGGCAGGAGACGCAGCAGCUUGCCAGUUGAUUGUCAUACAUAUACCUCAAUUCAAUCCAUGUAGUAUAUGAUCCUCAUGCAAUUAAACAACAGUGUCACGUCGAAAAAAUAUGAGAAAAUUUUGAAUAUAUAUAAGAAAUUAAGUUUAAAUUACUAAUAUUAGUUCUUUCAGUCAUAAAAUUUAACUUGAAAUUUGUUCGGGACUCGAAAUUUGAUCUCGGUUAUUUCGAAUUGUUUUAGAGGACAUCAACUACAGUGUUAGAAGGUACCAGGCCUAGAAUUCUUGGCCCAAGAACCACGCCUAUCUCUUAUUUUGUUAGUUAAGUAGGGACUUUCUGACUAUUUCUGACUUUAUCAACCAAUCAAGUAAUUUGUCGACAUAAAGCUUUUCCUCUGCAGGGGGCCUUGUGCAGUAAAUCCCCUACGGGGUCCUCUUUAUGAUGCUUCUAAUUGGAAAAGAUACCCCGAGCGGAAAUCGCUUAUAACAGUUUGAUAUAUAGUCAUUUCAUAGAAGCUUCUUGACAAGCACUCUUUCGAAAGCUUAAUGAACGAUGCCCUAAUAGGCUACUUCCCAACUUACGAACUGGGACUUUUUUGCCUCGAACAAGACUUUAUCCUCAAGGUCACCGCCUAUUCGAGGCCGGAUGGCCUCGCCCCACAAGCAGAUUAUGUCUAGCUAGUUAC
rnacentral:lncRNA from 1 species